rnacentral:misc_RNA from 1 species
UACGAAGGGUGCGAGCGUUGUUCGGAAUUAUUGGGCGUAAAGCGCACGUAGGCGGCUCGGUAAGUCUCACUGUGAAAGCCCGGGGCUCAACCCCGGGAGGCCAGGAGAUACUGUCGAGCUGGAGACAAGUAGUGGCGAGUAGAAUUCCGGGUGUAGCGGUGGAAUGCGUAGAGAUCCGGAGGAAUACCAGAGGCGAAGGCGGCUCGCUGGACUUGGUCUGACGCUGAGGUGCGAAAGCGUGGGGAGCGAACAGG